rnacentral:lncRNA from 1 species
UGUUCCCAGAAUAAGUCUUAAGUAAAGUAAAUUUGCUUCGCGUUGUGUUUUAAAAUGGAAUAACUUGCACCAAAAAGGGGUGACUAAUUCUGGUAAACUGCACCGAAGGGGUGGCUUACUCUAGCCUCAAGUGAGAUGAUAUAUCCCCGAGAGUAUUUGGAGGCAUGUGCUAGGCCGACUUCGAUUGUUUAUAAAAUGAGAUGCCUAAUUUUGUCAUUGAUCAGGC